rnacentral:rRNA from 1 species
UCGAGCGGUAGCACAGAGAGCUUGCUCUCGGGUGACGAGCGGCGGACGGGUGAGUAAUGUCUGGGAAACUGCCUGAUGGAGGGGGAUAACUACUGGAAACGGUAGCUAAUACCGCAUAAUGUCGCAAGACCAAAGUGGGGGACCUUCGGGCCUCAUGCCAUCAGAUGUGCCCAGAUGGGAUUAGCUAGUAGGUGGGGUAAUGGCUCACCUAGGCGACGAUCCCUAGCUGGUCUGAGAGGAUGACCAGCCACACUGGAACUGAGACACGGUCCAGACUCCUACGGGAGGCAGCAGUGGGGAAUAUUGCACAAUGGGCGCAAGCCUGAUGCAGCCAUGCCGCGUGUGUGAAGAAGGCCUUCGGGUUGUAAAGCACUUUCAGCGGGGAGGAAGGCGGUGAGGUUAAUAACCUUGUCGAUUGACGUUACCCGCAGAAGAAGCACCGGCUAACUCCGUGCCAGCAGCCGCGGUAAUACGGAGGGUGCAAGCGUUAAUCGGAAUUACUGGGCGUAAAGCGCACGCAGGCGGUCUGUCAAGUCGGAUGUGAAAUCCCCGGGCUCAACCUGGGAACUGCAUUCGAAACUGGCAGGCUAGAGUCUUGUAGAGGGGGGUAGAAUUCCAGGUGUAGCGGUGAAAUGCGUAGAGAUCUGGAGGAAUACCGGUGGCGAAGGCGGCCCCCUGGACAAAGACUGACGCUCAGGUGCGAAAGCGUGGGGAGCAAACAGGAUUAGAUACCCUGGUAGUCCACGCCGUAAACGAUGUCGAUUUGGAGGUUGUGCCCUUGAGGCGUGGCUUCCGGAGCUAACGCGUUAAAUCGACCGCCUGGGGAGUACGGCCGCAAGGUUAAAACUCAAAUGAAUUGACGGGGGCCCGCACAAGCGGUGGAGCAUGUGGUUUAAUUCGAUGCAACGCGAAGAACCUUACCUGGUCUUGACAUCCACAGAACUUAGCAGAGAUGGUUUGGUGCCUUCGGGAACUGUGAGACAGGUGCUGCAUGGCUGUCGUCAGCUCGUGUUGUGAAAUGUUGGGUUAAGUCCCGCAACGAGCGCAACCCUUAUCCUUUGUUGCCAGCGGUUAGGCCGGGAACUCAAAGGAGACUGCCAGUGAUAAACUGGAGGAAGGUGGGGAUGACGUCAAGUCAUCAUGGCCCUUACGACCAGGGCUACACACGUGCUACAAUGGCAUAUACAAAGAGAAGCGACCUCGCGAGAGCAAGCGGACCUCAUAAAGUAUGUCGUAGUCCGGAUUGGAGUCUGCAACUCGACUCCAUGAAGUCGGAAUCGCUAGUAAUCGUAGAUCAGAAUGCUACGGUGAAUACGUUCCCGGGCCUUGUACACACCGCCCGUCACACCAUGGGAGUGGGUUGCAAAAGAAGUAGGUAGCUUAACCUUCGGGAGGGC